GAUGAACGCUGGCGGCGUGCCUAACACAUGCAAGUCGCGCGAUGAAGUUUCCUUCGGGAAAUGGAUUAGCGGCGGACGGGUGAGUAACACGUGGGUAACCUGCCUCAUAGUGGGGGAUAGCCUUCCGAAAGGGAGAUUAAUACCGCAUAACAUCAUUAGAUGGCAUCAUUUAGUGAUCAAAGGAUUUAUUCGCUAUGAGAUGGACCCGCGUCGCAUUAGCUAGUUGGUAGGGUAAUGGCUUACCAAGGCGACGAUGCGUAGCCGACCUGAGAGGGUGAUCGGCCACAUUGGGACUGAGACACGGCCCAGACUCCUACGGGAGGCAGCAGUGGGGAAUAUUGCACAAUGGGGGAAACCCUGAUGCAGCAACGCCGCGUGAGUGAUGACGGUCUUCGGAUUGUAAAGCUCUGUCUUUGGGGACGAUAAUGACGGUACCCAAGGAGGAAGCCACGGCUAACUAC
rnacentral:rRNA from 1 species